ensembl:lncRNA
UUUCUAAAGAAUGGUAUAUUUAACCUUGAAUUCUAAGGGAUGCUUCUUCAAAAAAAAAAAAUGUUAUUAUUUCAGCAGAUUCUCUAGCACAGAUACAGGGAAACUAACACCAGGGGCGUCUGGUUUUGUCUUAUACCACAUAGAAUGGCCACACAUGGAAUCACCUACAAGGUCCUUUCUGACUUUGCCUUAGAAAAUAUAUUAAUCAUAGGAUUAUCUUAAGAUUAUAUGACACCUUUUCCAUAGAAGUGAAAAUAAAAUUGGACAUAGUUCUUCUGCAUGAUUAAAUAUUGUGUGGGAAUUCCCUCCAUGCAUCUAAUACAGAAAUACAAGUACUGAGAGGCAAAGUAAAUGCCCCAAGAGUACAGGGGAAAAGUUUCAAAAUAAAUGAACCCAGAUUUUGAGGCUUGUCCUUGUGAGAGGACUGACUCCUGCCUCUGCUUGAGGUAACACAUGCCUACCCAAAAAGUAAUGACUCAACCCUCCUAGGGUGAAUACGCAGUGGCUUUUGGUCAGUCCUAUCGAAUGAUUAAUUUUAAAACUCCGAGGGUGAUCAGCAAAAGAGAAAGGUAAGAAAGAGGUGCCUGCUUCAACUCUGUAACCGGUCAGUUGAGAAGUAAAAUCCUGAAACCACAAGAAUACUAUCCAAGGUGCUGAAGCCCUUUUCCACCAAUUGAGAAAAGAAAAAUUUACCGAUUCAUACAGAGUUACUUAUACAAAGAAUCCCUCCUCUUUAAUGUUGACGGUGUGUGUGAAGGGUCCACAAAUGAAUCCCUAUCAGAUGCCCUCUGGGCAGGAACCCAAAAAAGAACCUCAAGCAGCUACAGACACGCAGGGAACCAAGGGCACCACUUGAACAGCCUCAAGCGCUGCACUCAGUCCAGCUAUUUAUUCAAUGAGAUAAAAUAAAUUCCAGGUCAUGAUAAAAAAAAAAGUCAUACCCUGCACUUUGUAUUAUCUAGGAAAUUGCUUGUAGAAAUAGCACAAAAAGAAAACCAGAUAACAUAGGUUUUAAUUCCAACUUUGUCAAUAGUUAGCUGUGGAUUUUUUUUUAUAGUCUGUUUAUUUGUUUUUAAAGUAGGAAUCAUGUGCACAUUACCUGCUUGCUGUGUGAGAUGGAGAUGAGAGCAAAUCUGAAGCACCUUGUGAACGUCAUACCACAACAUGUAAAUAUCAUGUUAAUAUACAAGAAAUCAGUUACUCCCAUAAAAUUGUAGAACUGUCCAAAAUAAAGUGAUUUUUAUAUGUGUUGAUUUUCCCUCUUCUGUACUACAAAUGUACAAGUAGGAAUGAAACCAAAUAAGAUACAGAGAUUUUUCAUGGGGUCGGUCACUCUUGCCAAUUCCUCUUUUCCUGGCAAAAAGAGAGUUCCCUUGACUAACGCCUGGAUUUUAACAUUUCACUAGUGGAAAAAUAGCUUGUUUUCAGGUAAUGCUAGACCAACUAUGUAUAAAUACACAUACUGAGGGUGAUACGGCUGCUUUAUGGUGUCACCAAUUGGAACUAAAUCACUUACAGAAACCAUAGUUAAUCUUGGUUGGAAUAACAUACGGACAUUCGAAUACCGCAAAGACAAAAGAAGGCUGCAGUAGCUGGCAGCUAAGAACAAACGCUGUUUCAUUACAACCUUGUGAAAAACAAAGUGCAACAAAGGUGAGAACACGGAAAGGCCUCACAGUGGUAACAUCCCCGUGCGUUGGGUGGGGGGCUGAUGACGUUCAACUUUUAGGUUCUGCUAACAGCUGGCAUGAAUUAUCUUAGGGCAGAGUUCAAAUGAUAAAAACCUAGCACAUUUUUCCCUCUAAGAGAGUUGUUGAAGUUUUACUGAAAACUUACCUGUUCAUAAUAUGCUGGCUAUUCUGUCUUUACAGCCUCAGACCCAGCCGUGAAGCAAAAUUUUUCUUCAAGAAAUCACCUUGAUAUUAGGUAAGAAGAUAAAAAGUCAAUUCACAUGGCUUUACACUGAUUUGUGACUCUCAAAAUAUAGUAAAAACAGAUUAUUUCCGAGGCAGGCUCUGCAGCUGUUCUCUGAUACCUUAUUCUUCUCUAAGCCUUCGAAAUUAGAAGCAGUCAUCUGGUUUCGGGUAGGAGCACGCGUGUAACUUCCUCCUGGAAGAACCUAACUUCGGAUGCUCAUCUUUCCAACACGACCUUCACUACCCGCAGGGACUCAGCCAGGCCGAGUCGUGAAAUGGAAGAUAGUCACUGUGGGGGCCCCCCAACCCUGCCGCAGCCUUUGUGUGAGUGGAAGACAAAGGCUCACUCUUUUUGGCCACCGGAAUUGGGGGACUGCCUAGCUUUCCAUUUGGUUCUUAAGGGGUCCCUGCUAAAAACCUUAAAAUCUAAACUCUCGUGUAGCCUUGGCUUAGAGAAUAAGCAGUAAGGAAAAUCACAUGACAAGCUGGAGAGAUGGCAGGCCAUAUUAUGCAGUCACAAAUUAUUUGGUAAAUAAUCUUGUCUGACAAUUUCUGAGACAGUUCAUGUACCUCAUCGUAUUGUAGCUCCACAGAACAUAAUUGGAAAACAGAAUGUUAAAAGCGUGAGCCGGUUAUUAGUGGGUGCAUUUGACAAAGUGCUUUAAGAGAUUAGCUCAGAAAAGAAUUUCCAUCUGUAAACAGGAAAAAAAAUAAAUAAGGGGGGUGGGGGUAGAGAAAGCCCAAAAUUUCUACGAUUUGCCAAGUCAGAAGAGGCAACAGCCCCUCAUCCCCGCUGGAGAAAUUAAAGUAUAAAGCCUUCCCCCGCCACCCCCACCAUUUCUGUCUUAAAUCGUGUUCUCCCACAUUGACUGAAUAGCAACCUUUGUCAUAACAGAUCAUUCUCUCAAAACACCUCCUUUGCAUGGUUGCCGGGUCACCCCAUGUUCCUGCUUUUCCUUCCUCCUCACUGAUCACUCAUCUAGUUUCUUUUAUGGUCCUUCCCCAUCUCCCUGACCUCCGAACGCUGUAGGGUCACCAGGCUUUGCCCAAGGACGUCGUCCACAUGUGUGGGUACACUGUCUCCUUGGAGACCUCAUGGCUUUCCCACACCACCUAUCUACUAACAAUUCCCAGCGUCUGCCCAAAUUCUAGCUGUCUGUUUGAUGUUUCUACUUGCCUUGCAAAUAGAGAUACGACAAACUUGCAGGGUCAGAAAUUAAAUGCAUUCCCCCCACACAAACAAAUUCCUAGUCUCCCAAACCUGCUCUUCCAAUAGGCAUCUCAUUUUAGCAAAUGGAAAUCUCAUCCUUCCAGUCUCAGUGCUAUAACCCUCGGUGCCCUGCUUGUCUUCUCUCCCUCAUAGCCCACAUCCAAAGCAUUAGUGACCCAAUUAGCUCCAUUUUUUCCAUCUAUAUCAAGAAUCGGACCCCUUCUCACUACCUCUUCCAUUAGCACCUCAGUAUCAGCACCCUCACCUCUUUGCAGAAUUACUCCCACAGCCUCCUAACUUUUCUCCCCACUUCCUCUCCUACCAGCCACCUAGAUCUUCUCUCACCAUAGGGUACAGGCAGAUGUAUUCAAACCACAGGUCACACCUGUCACUUUCCAGGCUCAACACUCUAAAGUGGGUCCCAAAUGAUAGCGAAUAGCCCUUUCGAUGACCUACAAGAUUCUGACUUCACCGGUAACUUUUCACCCCAUUUUUUACUCCAGGUACAGUGGCUCCCUGAUCUUCCUCAAAUAUGCCAAGCACACUCCCACCUCGGGGCCUCUGCAAUUGAUUUUCUCUUUACCUGGAAUGUUCCUUCCUCCUUCUCUUGCCUCUUUCAAAUUAGUAGUCAUAUGUCACCUUCUUUUAUCUGUUUUCUUCACUAUAGUGUCCCCAGUGCCCAUAGAAGAGUGUCAGGCACAUUGCAGACUCCCAUUUGGCUUGAAAGUUUAAAUACAGAGCAAACAUACUAUCAACCCUCAACCCUUUUCCUCAGCAGAUUCAAAAUAUGUUAUCCAAGAAGGUGUCAGAUGCUAAGGGCAGGAUCCUCACGACUAGCUGAUCUCCCAGAGUGAGAGAGCUUCCCCAAGAUUGCACAAUAUCUGUAGGUUAAAGCCCAGAGACUGCCUUGGAAGCCAUGACUCCAGGGUUUUUCCACUUCAUUCAAAGCACCACACAUACACACACACACACACAAACGUACACACAUACAAACACAUACACAUACAUGUGAAUAUAUGUGUACACACACACGGAUAUAUGUAUAUGCAUAUAUGCAAACACACAGUGUGUGUUUGUACCUAACUAGUUUCUAAAUACCCUAAGAACCGCUUGCCCUCAGUGAUCCUGCAACAACAGGCAGCGGCCCCUCAGGCCCCUGAUUUGUUUUUAUAAACUCAAUAUAGAAGCUAGAAUCAAUAACGCCUAAAAAUACCUAAAGAAUGAGAUAUCUAUUUUCUAUUCCAGCACUGGCUUCAGAGUUUGAUACAAAGAUAGCAUUUGUAGCCUCAAGAAAAUACCACUCUUGGGAUCACCUUAAACAUGUCACGAAGCCCCAUCUGGUUCAGCAAAUCAGCUACUAAUGACCCUCCUUUUCCUGCAGUGUUUUUUCCUGACACUAGGAAAAAUAUUUUCUUCCUGAUGUUUCAAGAUUCCCCACACUCAUGUUUUAAGAUGCUUUUGCAAAUUGCCCUGCACUAGUUUUAAGAUUAGAUUCCCAUUUCAGUAUUCAUGUUGCAGUUUAAGGAAAGCUAAAUCCUCUCACAAAUCAUGUGUCAACAAUCUGAAUACCAUCAUGGCUGAAUGCAACCAACCCAGAAAGAUAAGUAAAAGUAUAUGCUGCUGGAAUUCAGUCAAACCGCUAACAGCAUCUCGUAGAUGAUAUGCUCUGAUAGACAGCUACUUAACGUUACUUGCAAGGUUUCUAUCUUAAAUCUUAUCUUUUUUGCUAAUAGACUCCCCUCACAAUAAAAUAGGGAACAGAAUUCAGAGCUAAAGGAGACAUUUGAGGCACUCCUUCUCUUGCUACUCAUAAUAGAUGUUUUUCCAUGUUGCCAGCUCAGUAUAUGUUUUGGUUUAAUAUACUUGGAUAUCGGUACAUCCAAACACAAAUGCAUUUUUCAUUAGCGAGGACACGAUCUGGAAAUGCCCAGGCUUCAUUUACAGUUAGUUACCCAAGCAGGCCAAGCCAAAGUUCAUCCGGCUAUGCCAGCCGUCCUGCAUGUAAAUUCCCCUUUAUAUACACUGCUUGCCGUGAACACUGCUGUGCCAGAAUCAGUGACCUAGAAAUGCACAUCCAUGGCAAGCAAGCUGAAAUCAGCAAACUUCACUUGCACCCUGUGAUUGAGGUGGUGGGUGACCAAUGUACUCGGUGCCUAAGAAGAAGUCGAUGGGAACAGCCAUUUCUCCCCACUCUGGGCUCCGUUAGGGUAAUUAUAAAUCGGUGCCCCUGGUGUGAAUGGAAUACACGAUGCUCAAAAUGAUGCUUAUUUGGGAAAUCUAAUCCAUUCAUUUUCUAACCACCCCAUCCACAUAAAGACAACAUCCUUCCUCUCAUUCUGGGAAGACAACCCGUCAAACGCUCCCAGAGUUGAACUCGCAGAAACAUUUUACUCGAAUCCACUGUUGUGGUGUUUCUACCUUUAAGGCUUAAACAUUUUCCUGUUCAUGCACUGCUGGCACUCGCCUUCUUGUGUAGCCCUUUGUCGUAUCAGGGUCAUGGCAGCUAACCUUUUAAACAGUCUAUACAGAGCUACAGCAAGUUUGGAGAAUCGAACCGAUGUGGGUGGUAAACAGGAACCAAGAAGUUUAUUUUCUGUGCGUCAGUGAAAUCCAUGUAAUGCUUUAUUUCCCUUUUACUAUUCUCAACCUUUUAUAGUACAUAUCAAACACAAAAUGGUUUGCUGUAUUUCUCAGGCAGCCAGAAGGAAGUUAACAAACAAGUUACGUCAUUAUUUUCCUGCCUUCCCUGUAUUUCUAGUGAUGGAUCCCAAGAGAAUCAAUUCUGGGAAUGUUACCAGUUGUCCUGAGAGGAACCAUCACCCAUAGCCUCUCACCAUGUGUUUAGUUUUUUUUAAUUUUAUAGACAAGCUAAUCCUCAAAGAAAAACUCCUUCAGAAAUGAGUGGGCCUUUUCCGUAGAUCUGGUAGUACCCGACGGCAUUUUAAAGACAUUAAACCCUUGGCUUUUUUUUAUUAUGAUUUAAUCUUAGACAUAUGGAAAUAGUGCCUCCAAUUAAUUCUACUUUCUUAAAAACAUUUGGCCAUUUUGAUCCUGUAAUGUCUUCUUUGGUGUAGAGCACUGAGUAGAGAUUACACAAAUACUGAAAGAACAGAGGCAUGAGAGAGUACAUGAGUGAACAAAUUCUGUCACUGUUGACUUCUGGGAAGUUCUAUUUCUCAUUUUCCUCAGGGAAUAAUCUGCUUUACUCACCGGUUUCACGUGUACGCCUGUCUGUGUGACUAUGUGUGUGCACACACACAUACAUGUGAAUCAUUUCUUCAGUUAUAAUUCCUGCCAUGGUC